UACGAAGGGGGCUAGCGUUGUUCGGAAUUACUGGGCGUAAAGCGUGCGCAGGCGGCUUCUCAAGUCAGGGGUGAAAGCCCAGAGCUCAACUCUGGAAUUGCCUUUGAGACUGAGUGGCUUGAGUAUGAGAGAGGUGAGUGGAAUUCCCAGUGUAGAGGUGAAAUUCGUAGAUAUUGGGAAGAACACCGGUGGCGAAGGCGGCUCACUGGCUCGUAACUGACGCUCAUGCACGACAGCGUGGGGAUCAAACAGG
rnacentral:rRNA from 1 species